rnacentral:rRNA from 1 species
AGAACGAACGCUGGCGGCAGGCUUAACACAUGCAAGUCGAGCGCCCCGCAAGGGGAGCGGCAGACGGGUGAGUAACGCGUGGGAACGUACCCCUCGGUUCGGAAUAACUCAGGGAAACUUGAGCUAAUACCGGAUACGGCAUUCAAGAGAAAUCUUGGCGGCGAAAGAUUUAUCGCCGAGGGAUCGGCCCGCGUCCGAUUAGCUAGUUGGUGUGGUAAUGGCGCACCAAGGCGACGAUCGGUAGCUGGUCUGAGAGGAUGAUCAGCCACAUUGGGACUGAGACACGGCCCAAACUCCCACGGGAGGCAGCAGUGGGGAAUAUUGGACAAUGGGCGCAAGCCUGAUCCAGCCAUGCCGCGUGAGUGAUGAAGGCCUUAGGGUUGUAAAGCUCUUUCGCCCACGACGAUAAUGACGGUAGUGGGAGAAGGAAGCCCCGGCUAACUUCGUGCCAGCAGCCGC